rnacentral:rRNA from 1 species
UACGUAGGGGGCAAGCGUUGUCCGGAAUCACUGGGCGUAAAGCGCGUGUAGGCGGCUCGGUAAGUCUGCUGUGAAAGUCCAGGGCUCAACCCUGGGAUGCCGGUGGAUACUGUCGAGCUCGAGUCCGGAAGAGGCGAGUGGAAUUCCUGGUGUAGCGGUGAAAUGCGCAGAUAUCAGGAGGAACACCAAUGGCGAAGGCAGCUCGCUGGGACGUGACUGACGCUGAGACGCGAAAGCGUGGGGAGCAAACAGG